rnacentral:rRNA from 1 species
GUUAUAGGGUCAAGUGAAGAAGCGCAUACGGUGGAUGCCUUGGCAGUCAGAGGCGAUGAAAGACGUGGUAGCCUGCGAAAAGCUUCGGGGAGUCGGCAAACAGACUGUGAUCCGGAGAUGUCUGAAUGGGGGAACCCAGCCAUCAUAAGAUGGUUAUCUUGUACUGAAUACAUAGGUGCAAGAGGCGAACCAGGGGAACUGAAACAUCUAAGUACCCUGAGGAAAAGAAAUCAACCGAGAUUCCCUUAGUAGUGGCGAGCGAACGGGGACUAGCCCUUAAGUGGCUUUGAGAUUAGCGGAACGCUCUGGAAAGUGCGGCCAUAGUGGGUGAUAGCCCUGUACGCGAAAAUCUCUUAGUCAUGAAAUCGAGUAGGACGGGGCACGAGAAACCUUGUCUGAAUAUGGGGGGACCAUCCUCCAAGGCUAAAUACUACUGACUGACCGAUAGUGAACUAGUACCGUGAGGGAAAGGCGAAAAGAACCCCGGAGAGGGGAGUGAAAUAGAUCCUGAAACCGUCUGCGUACAAGCAGUGGGAGCCCACUUGUUGGGUGACUGCGUACCUUUUGUAUAAUGGGUCAGCGACUUAUUUUCAGUGGCAAGCUUAACCGAAUAGGGGAGGCGUAGCGAAAGCGAGUCUUAAUAGGGCGUCUAGUCGCUGGGAAUAGACCCGAAACCGGGCGAUCUAUCCAUGGGCAGGUUGAAGGUUGGGUAACACUAACUGGAGGACCGAACCGACUACCGUUGAAAAGUUAGCGGAUGACCUGUGGAUCGGAGUGAAAGGCUAAUCAAGCUCGGAGAUAGCUGGUUCUCCUCGAAAGCUAUUUAGGUAGCGCCUCAUGUAUCACUGUAGGGGGUAGAGCACUGUUUCGGCUAGGGGGUCAUCCCGACUUACCAAACCGAUGCAAACUCCGAAUACCUACAAGUGCCGAGCAUGGGAGACACACGGCGGGUGCUAACGUCCGUCGUGAAAAGGGAAACAACCCAGACCGUCAGCUAAGGUCCCAAAGUCAUGGUUAAGUGGGAAACGAUGUGGGAAGGCUUAGACAGCUAGGAGGUUGGCUUAGAAGCAGCCACCCUUUAAAGAAAGCGUAAUAGCUCACUAGUCGAGUCGGCCUGCGCGGAAGAUGUAACGGGGCUCAAACCAUGCACCGAAGCUACGGGUAUCACUUAGGUGAUGCGGUAGAGGAGCGUUCUGUAAGCCUGUGAAGGUGAGUUGAGAAGCUUGCUGGAGGUAUCAGAAGUGCGAAUGCUGACAUGAGUAACGACAAUGGGUGUGAAAAACACCCACGCCGAAAGACCAAGGUUUCCUGCGCAACGUUAAUCGACGCAGGGUGAGUCGGUCCCUAAGGCGAGGCUGAAAAGCGUAGUCGAUGGAAAACAGGUUAAUAUUCCUGUACUUCUGGUUAUUGCGAUGGAGGGACGGAGAAGGCUAGGCCAGCUUGGCGUUGGUUGUCCAAGUUUAAGGUGGUAGGCUGAAAUCUUAGGUAAAUCCGGGGUUUCAAGGCCGAGAGCUGAUGACGAGUUACCCUUUAGGGUGACGAAGUGGUUGAUGCCAUGCUUCCAAGAAAAGCUUCUAAGCUUCAGAUAACCAGGAACCGUACCCCAAACCGACACAGGUGGUUGGGUAGAGAAUACCAAGGCGCUUGAGAGAACUCGGGUGAAGGAACUAGGCAAAAUGGCACCGUAACUUCGGGAGAAGGUGCGCCGGUGAGGGUGAAGGACUUGCUCCGUAAGCUCAUGCCGGUCGAAGAUACCAGGCCGCUGCGACUGUUUAUUAAAAACACAGCACUCUGCAAACACGAAAGUGGACGUAUAGGGUGUGACGCCUGCCCGGUGCCGGAAGGUUAAUUGAUGGGGUUAGCUCACGCGAAGCUCUUGAUCGAAGCCCCGGUAAACGGCGGCCGUAACUAUAACGGUCCUAAGGUAGCGAAAUUCCUUGUCGGGUAAGUUCCGACCUGCACGAAUGGCGUAACGAUGGCGGCGCUGUCUCCACCCGAGACUCAGUGAAAUUGAAAUCGCUGUGAAGAUGCAGUGUAUCCGCGGCUAGACGGAAAGACCCCGUGAACCUUUACUAUAGCUUUGCACUGGACUUUGAAUUUGCUUGUGUAGGAUAGGUGGGAGGCUUUGAAGCGUGGACGCCAGUUCGCGUGGAGCCAUCCUUGAAAUACCACCCUGGCAACUUUGAGGUUCUAACUCAGGUCCGUUAUCCGGAUCGAGGACAGUGUAUGGUGGGUAGUUUGACUGGGGCGGUCUCCUCCUAAAGAGUAACGGAGGAGUACGAAGGUGCGCUCAGACCGGUCGGAAAUCGGUCGUAGAGUAUAAAGGCAAAAGCGCGCUUGACUGCGAGACAGACACGUCGAGCAGGUACGAAAGUAGGUCUUAGUGAUCCGGUGGUUCUGUAUGGAAGGGCCAUCGCUCAACGGAUAAAAGGUACUCCGGGGAUAACAGGCUGAUACCGCCCAAGAGUUCAUAUCGACGGCGGUGUUUGGCACCUCGAUGUCGGCUCAUCACAUCCUGGGGCUGAAGCCGGUCCCAAGGGUAUGGCUGUUCGCCAUUUAAAGUGGUACGCGAGCUGGGUUUAGAACGUCGUGAGACAGUUCGGUCCCUAUCUGCCGUGGACGUUUGAGAUUUGAGAGGGGCUGCUCCUAGUACGAGAGGACCGGAGUGGACGAACCUCUGGUGUUCCGGUUGUCACGCCAGUGGCAUUGCCGGGUAGCUAUGUUCGGGAAAGAUAACCGCUGAAAGCAUCUAAGCGGGAAACUUGCCUCAAGAUGAGAUCUCACUGGAACCUUGAGUUCCCUGAAGGGCCGUCGAAGACUACGACGUUGAUAGGUGGGGUGUGUAAGCGCUGUGAGGCGUUGAGCUAACCCAUACUAAUUGCCCGUGAGGCUUGACCCUAUAACACCCAAGCAAUU